rnacentral:rRNA from 1 species
CACACGACUCUCGGCAACGGAUAUCUCGGCUCUCGCAUCGAUGAAGAACGUAGCGAAAUGCGAUACCUGGUGUGAAUUGCAGAAUCCCGCGAACCAUCGAGUCUUUGAACGCAAGUUGCGCCUGAGGCCAUUCGGUUGAGGGCACGCCUGCCUGGGCGUCACGC